rnacentral:rRNA from 1 species
UGGGGAAUUUUGGACAAUGGGCGCAAGCCUGAUCCAGCCAUGCCGCGUGCGGGAAGAAGGCCUUCGGGUUGUAAACCGCUUUUGGCAGGAACGAAACGGCGCGAGCGAAUAUCUCGCGCUAAUGACGGUACCUGCAGAAUAAGCACCGGCUAACUACGUGCCAGCAGCCGCGGUAAUACGUAGGGUGCAAGCGUUAAUCGGAAUUACUGGGCGUAAAGCGUACGCAGGCGGCUUUGCAAGACAGGUGUGAAAUCCCCGGGCCUAACCUGGGAACUGCAUUUGUGACUGCAUGGCUAGAGUUUGUCAGAGGGGGGUGGAAUUCCACGUGUAGCAGUGAAAUGCGUAGAGAUGUGGAAGAACACCGAUGGCGAAGGCAGCCCCCUGGGAUCUGACUGACGCUCAUGUACGAAAGCGUGGGGAGCAAACAGG